UAGAUGGCAUCUCCUUUCCUUGGACUUUAUAGGAUAUAGAUGUGUCAGCUUGAACUAUAGCAGCAAUCUUGUGAUUAUUGGGGAAGCUAGCAUCUAAGAGCAAAGUCAAUACACUGAGAAAGGCAGAGCAGAAAGACAGAACAACCUGGUUCUUGUAGACAUUGCUGGGUAGGAGGGAAUUAACCAGUCCUGGAAGCUUCGGACUUCCCUUUUUUUUUUUUUUUUUUUUUUGAGACGGAGUCUUGCUCUUGUCACCCAGGCUGGAGGGCAACGGCAUGAUCUUGGCUCAUUGCAACCUUCGCCUCCCAGGUUCAAGCGAUUCUUUCGCCUCAGCCUCCUGAGUACCUGGGAUUACAGGCGCCUGCCGCCACGCCUGGCUAAUUUUAUUUUAUUUUAUACUUACUUAUUAAUUUUUUUUUUUGAGACAGAGUCUCGCUCUGUCGCCUAGGCUGGAGUGCAGUGGCGCGAUCUCCGCUCACUGCGAGCUCCGCCUCCCGGGUUCACGCCAUUCUCCUGUCUUAGACUCCCAAGUAGCUGGGACUACAUUGGACUACAGGCGCGUGCCACCACGCCUGGCUACGAUGUAGGUGUUCUUGCAAGCCUCCUCUGGAAAGACUGCACACUGUCCUUGAUAAUCUCCGAUCUGGACAACAGCAAUAACAGCGUGUCAGGUAAAGCCAGGAAGACAGUUGGUAUGAAAAGUGAUUUGGAAAUUUUUUGUCUUUAUUGAUGAAAAUAAUGCGAAUUGGUUUUGUUUUGUUUUGGUGGAUUUUUUUUUUUUUUUUUGAGACGGAGUCUCGCUCUGUCACCCAGGCUGGAGUGCAGUGGCAUGAUCUCGGCUCACUGAAAUCUCCACUUCCCAGGCUCAAGGAAUCCUCCCAUCUCAACCUCCUGAGUAGCUGGGAUCACAGAAGUGCACCACCAUGCCUGGCUAAUUUUUUGUAUUUUUGGUAGAGAUGAGGUUUCAUCAUGUUGCCCAGGCUGGUCUAGAAAUUAAUGUG
rnacentral:lncRNA from 1 species